rnacentral:rRNA from 1 species
AUUGAACGCUGGCGGCAGGCCUAACACAUGCAAGUCGAACGGCAGCGGGGGGUAGCUUGCUACCCCGCCGGCGAGUGGCGGACGGGUGAGUAAUGCCUGGGGAGCUGCCCAGUCGAGGGGGAUACCAGUUGGAAACGACUGCUAAUACCGCAUACGCCCUGAGGGGGAAGGGUGGGGAUCUUCGGACCUACCGCGAUUGGAUGCACCCAGGUGGAUUAGCUAGUUGGUGAGGUAACGGCUCACCAAGGCGACGAUCUCUAGCUGGUCUGAGAGGAUGACCAGCCACACCGGAACUGAGACACGGUCCAGACUCCUACGGGAGGCAGCAGUGGGGAAUAUUGCACAAUGGGGGAAACCCUGAUGCAGCCAUGCCGCGUGUGUGAAGAAGGCCUUCGGGUUGUAAAGCACUUUCAGCGAGGAGGAAAGGGGUGAUGCUAAUACCAUCAUUCUGUGACGUUACUCGCAGAAGAAGCACCGGCUAACUCCGUGCCAGCCGCCGCGGUAA